rnacentral:rRNA from 1 species
AGUCAUAUGCUUGUCUCAAAGAUUAAGCCAUGCAUGUGUAAGUACAUACCGAUUUAAGGUGAAACCGCGAAUGGCUCAUUAAAUCAGCUGUGGUUCAUUGGAUCUUAACCCCACUUACUUGGAUAACUGUGGUAAUUCUAGAGCUAAUACAUGCGUCCAGUCUCUGACCGCAAGGGAAGAGCGCUCUUAUUAGUCCAAAACUGGUCGGGCCUCGGUCCGUUCUGUCCUGGUGGUGAAUCUGAAUAAUUUUGACCUGAGCGCACGGUCUCCGCGCCGGCGCCGUAUCUUUCAAGUGUCUGCCUUAUCAGCUCUCGACUGUAGGUCAUGUGCCUACAUUGGCUAUAACGGGUAACGGGGAAUCAGGGUUCGAUUCCGGAGAGGGAGCCUGAGAAACGGCUACCACAUCUAAGGAAGGCAGCAGGCACGCAAAUUACCCACUCCCGGCACGGGGAGGUAGUGACGAAAAAUAACGGUGCGAGACUCAUCCGAGGCCUCGCAAUCGGAAUGAGUACACUUUAAAUCCUUUAACGAGGAUCGAUUGGAGGGCAAGUCUGGUGCCAGCAGCCGCGGUAAUUCCAGCUCCAAUAGCGUAUAUUAAAGUUGUUGCGGUUAAAAAGCUCGUAGUUGACCCUCAGUUCCGGACUGGCGGUGCACCGCCCGGUGUCUGUCCGUCACGCUCCGAACAGCAGGCGUGCUUGUCCUGCCCGGCCGGCUCGCACGGGGUGCUCUUCACCGAGUGUCCCGCGUGGCUGGCAAGUUUACUUUGAAAAAAUUAGAGUGCUCAAAGCAGGCUACGUGAAUGGCCUGAAUGGUGAUGCAUGGAAUAAUGGAAUAGGACCUCGGGUCUAUUUUAUUGGUUUUCGGAUCCAGAGGUAAUGACGAAUAGAAACAGGCGGGGGCAUUCGUACUGCGACGCUAGAGGUGAAAUUCUUGGACCGUCGCAAGACGAACUACUGCGAAAGCAUUUGCCAAGGAUGUUUUCAUUAAUCAAGAACGAAAGUUAGAGGUUCGAAGGCGAUCAGAUACCGCCCUAGUUCUAACCAUAAACGGUGCUGACUAGCGAUCCGCCGGCGUUAUUCCCAUGACCCGGCGGGCGGCUUCCGGGAAACCAAAGUCUUUGAGUUCCGGGGGAAGUAUGGUUGCAAAGCUGAAACUUAA